UGGUCUGAGAGGAUGAUCAGUCACACUGGAACUGAGACACGGUCCAGACUCCUACGGGAGGCAGCAGUAGGGAAUAUUGCGCAAUGGGGGAAACCCUGACGCAGCAACGCCGCGUGGAGGAUGACACUUUUCGGAGCGUAAACUCCUUUUCUUAGGGAAGAAUUCUGACGGUACCUAAGGAAUAAGCACCGGCUAACUCCGUGCCAGCAGCCGCGGUAAUACGGAGGGUGCAAGCGUUACUCGGAAUCACUGGGCGUAAAGGGCGCGUAGGCGGAUUAUCAAGUCUCUUGUGAAAUCUAAUGGCUUAACCAUUAAACUGCUUGGGAAACUGAUAGUCUAGAGUGAGGGAGAGGCAGAUGGAAUUGGUGGUGUAGGGGUAAAAUCCGUAGAUAUCACCAAGAAUACCCAUUGCGAAGGCGAUCUGCUGGAACUCAACUGACGCUAAGGCGCGAAAGCGUGGGGAGCAAACAGGAUUAGAUACCCUGGUAGUCCACGCCCUAAACGAUGUACACUAGUUGUUGGGGUGCUAGUCAUCUCAGUAAUGCAGCUAACGCAUUAAGUGUACCGCCUGGGGAGUACGGUCGCAAGAUUAAAACUCAAAGGAAUAGACGGGGACCCGCACAAGCGGUGGAGCAUGUGGUUUAAUUCGAAGAUACGCGAAGAACCUUACCUGGGCUUGAUAUCCUAAGAACCUUUUAGAGAUAAGAGGGUGCUAGCUUGCUAGAACUUAGAGACAGGUGCUGCACGGCUGUCGUCAGCUCGUGUCGUGAGAUGUUGGGUUAAGUCCCGCAACGAGCGCAACCCACGUAUUUAGUUGCUAACGGUUCGGCCGAGCACUCUAAAUAGACUGCCUUCGUAAGGAGGAGGAAGGUGUGGACGACGUCAAGUCAUCAUGGCCCUUAUGCCCAGGGCGACACACGUGCUACAAUGGCAUAUACAAUGAGACGCAAUACCGCGAGGUGGAGCAAAUCUAUAAAAUAUGUCCCAGUUCGGAUUGUUCUCUGCAACUCGAGAGCAUGAAGCCGGAAUCGCUAGUAAUCGUAGAUCAGCCAUGCUACGGUGAAUACGUUCCCGGGUCUUGUACUCACCGCCCGUCACACCAUGGGAGUUGAUUUCACUCGAAGCCGGAAUACUAAACUAGUUACCGUCCACAGUGGAAUCAGCGACUGGGGUGAAGUCGUAACAAGGUAACCGUAGGAGAACCUGCGGUUGGAUCACCUCCUUU
rnacentral:rRNA from 1 species